rnacentral:rRNA from 1 species
AACUUUCCACAACGGAUCUCUUGGCUCUCGCGUCCAUGAAAAAAGCAGCGAAAUGCGAUAAGUAAUGUGAAUUGCAUAAUUCACGUGAAUCAUCUGAAUCUUUGAACGCACCUUGCGCCCUUUGGUAUUCCGAAGGGCAUGCCUGUUUGAGUGUCAUUA